UUGGAAGAGGUGGCAGAAGACACCAGGUCAAGCUUGAAGACUCCAGGACAUCUAAGCCAUGACGGCUGGGGUUCUUUGCCAAAAAGACAGUAUUGUUCUCUUUGUUAUUCAGGUGAAGUUCACGGAGUAGUCAGCUAUUGCUGAGAGGCAAAAGGGGAUCCGAUGCUUGGCAAGUUGAGGAGCGGCUCUGAUACUGGAGGGAAGGGGCGACACAGAAGUUACCCCUUUGCGCCUGCCAAAAUUGGCAGAGCAGCUGAAAUUACAAAGUGGCUACAUUUGGAAAGAUGGAGACAUUCUCUUAACAAACAAGAUGGAUCAUUGUAACCCUGACGAUAAGGAGAAAUGAGGGCAGUCAGGAGAGAUACGGAUAGCUAAUGUUAAGUUAUUGUCAGAUAUGAUGGAUCAAAGACUCUGCGUCUUCAAAGACCCAUCAGAACAACGUAAAGUGACAACGCAGCUGCACAGGGACUGAUGUGAGCUAUGCAUUGUGCUGGGAAAUGACCAACAGACAACAUUACUUUUCCUGCUGGCAUUUAGAAUAAAACACCCGUUCUGACA